rnacentral:lncRNA from 1 species
CAUAAUGCGUAAUACUAGAUUAUAUUGAAUUAAUGGGCUAAAAUUUUUACAUGCAUUUUGUUAUAAGAGACAAAGAAACACACUUGGUCCUUCUGGUUCUUUUUCAUCAUAGCCCGUUAACUCACAGGUCUCAUUUUCCUGGGCCAAUUGCCAAAGGAAACGUCUGCAAUGAACGUUAGGUCCCUCCUUGCUCUCGAAAAUGUGGGAGUCCUUGUGCGCCGCCUUCUUGCCUGCAACUGCAAAGCUUGAAAAGAAGCGCGUCUUAAGAAGGUUGUUGCGUGGUCCGAUAUCUUUAUUUUCCGCGUUGCUCGACUGCGCUUUCCCUUUGAGCCCGCGGCGCGGAGACAUCAACGUUAUUAGCGCGCAUCUCAAAUCUGGUCUUUAGUAAAACUCCAGUCAGCCCUUAACAUUUAUUGUGAGCGGUCGAAUUAGACUGGAUCCCCGCUUUAAAGCAAAGCCGAAGUAGACGCGGGCUUGGCCUUGAAAUAUGGACAGGGGCUUUUUCCCACGAAGGAAGAGGUUCCCCAGAAGAUGCCAUGAUCAGUGGUUUCAGCAGAACUAUAUACCAAAUGAAAACUUUUGGAUGGAUUCUUGGGACAUGCCACAGAAUCAGUUUCCAAAGAGACCCCCUCCAUGGCGGAACCACCACUAUCCAGACCAAGAGAGGCCCUACAACGUCGGUUUUGAUAAUUACACCCGGGGUUCCUACCAUAGGCGUCCUUACCGUGGUCGUUUUUGUACAAGAUCUAAAAAGACCUUGAAAGGAAGAGGUAAUUUUCAAAACCAAUCAAGUUCUUCCUUCUCAAUCAAUGUGCCGCCAAAGAAAACAUUUGAGAAGGUGAAAGAACAGCCAGAAGAUUCCAAGGAAUUUAAACAGGACAAGGUCAAACCAAAAGAUAGUCAGCCUGACGAAGAAUCUCCUAGCCAGACUGACUCUGUUGUUUCUGCUGAAACUGUUGCAGAAGAAGAAUCACCACCUGGAAUUACAAAAAUCCCUCUUCACACCCAGAAU